rnacentral:rRNA from 1 species
GAUGAACGCUGACAGAAUGCUUAACACAUGCAAGUCUACUUGAAUUUGGGUUUUUAACUUAGAUUUGGGUGGCGGACGGGUGAGUAACGCGUAAAGAACUUGCCUCACAGCUAGGGACAACAUUUAGAAAUGAAUGCUAAUACCUAAUAUUAUGAUAAUAGGGCAUCCUAUAAUUAUGAAAGCUAUAUGCGCUGUGAGAGAGCUUUGCGUCCCAUUAGCUAGUUGGAGAGGUAACAGCUCACCAAGGCGAUGAUGGGUAGCCGGCCUGAGAGGGUGAUCGGCCACAAGGGGACUGAGACACGGCCCUUACUCCUACGGGAGGCAGCAGUGGGGAAUAUUGGACAAUGGACCGAGAGUCUGAUCCAGCAAUUCUGUGUGCACGAUGAAGUUUUUCGGAAUGUAAAGUGCUUUCAGUUGGGAAGAAAGAAAUGACGGUACCAACAGAAGAAGUGACGGCUAAAUACGUGCCAGCAGCCGCGGUAAUACGUAUGUCACGAGCGUUAUCCGGAUUUAUUGGGCGUAAAGCGCGUCUAGGUGGUUAUAUAAGUCUGAUGUGAAAAUGCAGGGCUCAACUCUGUAUUGCGUUGGGAACUGUAUAACUAGAGUACUGGAGAGGUAAGCGGAACUACAAGUGUAGAGGUGAAAUUCGUAGAUAUUUGUAGGAAUGCCGAUGGGGAAGCCAGCUUACUGGACAGAUACUGACGCUGAAGCGCGAAAGCGUGGGUAGCAAACAGG